rnacentral:rRNA from 1 species
AAGCGACUAAGCGUACACGGUGGAUGCCCUGGCAGUCAGAGGCGAUGAAGGACGUGCUAAUCUGCGAUAAGCGCCGGUAAGGUGAUAUGAACCGUUAUAACCGGCGAUUUCCGAAUGGGGAAACCCAGUGUGAUUCGUCACACUAUCAUUAACUGAAUCCAUAGGUUAAUGAGGCGAACCGGGGGAACUGAAACAUCUAAGUACCCCGAGGAAAAGAAAUCAACCGAGAUUCCCCCAGUAGCGGCGAGCGAACGGGGAGGAGCCCAGAGCCUGAAUCAGCAUGUGUGUUAGUGGAAGCGUCUGGAAAGGCGCGCGAUACAGGGUGACAGCCCCGUACACAAAAGCGCAUGUGCUGUGAGCUCGAUGAGUAGGGCGGGACACGUGGUAUCCUGUCUGAAUAUGGGGGGACCAUCCUCCAAGGCUAAAUACUCCUGACUGACCGAUAGUGAACCAGUACCGUGAGGGAAAGGCGAAAAGAACCCCGGCGAGGGGAGUGAAAAAGAACCUGAAACCGUGUACGUACAAGCAGUGGGAGCACAGGUUUACCUGUGUGACUGCGUACCUUUUGUAUAAUGGGUCAGCGACUUAUAUUCUGUAGCAAGGUUAACCGUAUAGGGGAGCCGUAGGGAAACCGAGUCUUAACCGGGCGUUAAGUUGCAGGGUAUA